rnacentral:rRNA from 1 species
CUCUUGCUUCACAUAAGAGGUCCAGCCUGCCCAGUGAAAUUUUAACGGCCGCGGUACCCUGACCGUGCGAAGGUAGCAUAAUCACUCGUUCUCUAAAUAGGGACUUGUAUCAAUGGCAUCACGAGGGUCAUACUGUCUCCUCUCUCCAAUCAGUGAACCUAAUCUCCCCGUGAAGAAGCGGGGUUGCACCCAUAAGACGAGAAGACCCCAUGGAGCUUUAAACCUUAAAGCAAUUUAAAUAAAAUAUUUCCACAUAUACUUUAGAUAUGCAUGAAGGUUUUGGGUUGGGGUGACCGCGGAGUAAAAACAAACCUCCACAACGAAAAGAACUAAAUCUUUAUCUAAGAACUACUAUUCUAAGAAUCAACACACUGACGAAUAUUGAUCCGAUAAUCGAUCAAUGAACCAAGUUACCCUGGGGAUAACAGCGCAAUCUACUUCGAGAGCUCAUAUCGACAAGUAGGCUUACGACCUCGAUGUUGGAUCAGGGUAUCCCAGUGGUGCAGCCGCUACUAAUGGUUCGUUUGUUCAACGAUUAAACCCC